UUAAAACUAGCCUAAUCAAUUCAUAAACAUAACACUAUUAAUUACACUCACCUUCCCCUGUAAAAUUAAAACAUUUUAAACCUUUUAGUAUGGGUGACAGAACCAAGAUUUCAGCGCAAUAAACCAUGUACCGCAAGGGAAAGUUGAAAAAGAAAUGAAAUAAUCAUUAAAGUAAUAUAAAGCAGAGACUCAAUCUCGUACCUUUUGCAUCAUGAUUUAGUAAGAUUAACUAGGCAAAGAGACCUUAAGUCUAUCUUCCCGAAACUAAACGAGCUACUCCGAAGCAGCAUAUUAGAGCCAACCCGUCUCUGUGGCAAAAGAGUGGGAAGACUUCCGAGUAGCGGUGAUAAACCUACCGAGUUUAGUGAUAGCUGGUUACCCAAGAAAAGAACUUAAAUUCUGCAUUAAUUUUUAAAUUAUCAAUCAAGAAUAUCACCUUAAGAUAAAAAAUAAGAAUUAAUAGUUAUUUAGAAGAGGUACAGCCCUUCUAAAUUAAGACACAACUUUUAAAGGUGGGUAAUGAUCAUAUUUAAUAAAGGAUUUCUUCCUCAGUAGGCUUAAGAGCAGCCAUCUGUAAAGCAAGCGUCACAGCUCCAGCCCCAUUUAAUCCUAUAAUCUAGAUAAUAUAUCUCAAAACCCCCUUGUUUUUAUUGGGUUUUUUUAUAAAAAUAAAAGAACUUAUACUAAAAUGAGUAAUAUGAGACCAAACCUCUCCUUACACAAGUGUAAAUCAGAAAGAAUUAAAUCACUGAUAAUUAACGGACUCAAACUGAGAGUAUCAUAAUAAUUUACUAUUAACUAGAAAAUCUUAUUUAAUUUACCGUUAACCCAACACAGGAGUGUCUUUAGGAAAGA
rnacentral:rRNA from 1 species